CUGGCGGCACGCUUAACACAUGCAAGUCGAACGGAGUUAUCGAGAGCUUGCUUUGAUAACUUAGUGGCGGACGGGUGAGUAACACGUGAGCAAUCUGCCCUUAAGAGGGGGAUAGCAGUUGGAAACGACUGAUAAUACCGCAUAAGAUAGUAGUACCGCAUGGUACAGCUAUAAAAGAUUUAUCGCUUAAGGAUGAGCUCGCGUCUGAUUAGCUAGUUGGUGAGGUAACGGCUCACCAAGGCAACGAUCAGUAGCCGGACUGAGAGGUUGGACGGCCACAUUGGGACUGGGACACGGCCCAGACUCCUACGGGAGGCAGCAGUGGGGAAUAUUGCACAAUGGAGGGAACUCUGAUGCAGCGAUGCCGCGUGAGGGAAGAAGGUUUUAGGAUUGUAAACCUCUGUUGACAGGGACGAUAAUGACGGUACCUGUUGAGGAAGCUCCGGCUAACUACGUGCCAGCCGCAGC
rnacentral:rRNA from 1 species